rnacentral:rRNA from 1 species
AUGAACGCUGGCGGCGUGCCUAAUACAUGCCAGUCGAGCGAACAGACGAGGAGCUUGCUCCUCUGACGUUAGCGGCGGACGGGUGAGUAACACGUGGAUAACCUACCUAUAAGACUGGGAUAACUUCGGGAAACCGGAGCUAAUACCGGAUAAUAUAUUGAACCGCAUGGUUCCAUAGUGAAAGACGGUUUUGCUGUCACUUAUAGAUGGAUCCGCGCCGCAUUAGCUAGUUGGUAAGGUAACGGCUUACCAAGGCAACGAUGCGUAGCCGACCUGAGAGGGUGAUCAGCCACACUGGAACUGAGACACGGUCCAGACUCCUACGGGAGGCAGCAGUAGGGAAUAUUCCGCAAUGGGCGAAAGCCUGACGGAGCAACGCCGCGUGAGUGAUGAAGGUCUUCGGAUCGUAAAACUCUGUUAUUAGGGAAGAACAAAUGUGUAAGUAACUAUGCACGUCUUGACGGUACCUAAUCAGAAAGCCACGGCUAACUUCGUG